GGUGAGGUGGCCGAGAGGCUGAAGGCGCUCCCCUGCUAAGGGAUUAUGCAGUUAAUAGCUGCAUCGAGGGUUCGAAUCCCUCCCUCACCGCCA
rnacentral:tRNA from 1 species